rnacentral:rRNA from 1 species
CAGCACAGAGAAGCUUGCUUCUUGGGUGGCGAGUGGCGAACGGGUGAGUAACAUAUCGGAACGUACCGAGCAGUGGGGGAUAACUAAUCGAAAGAUUAGCUAAUACCGCAUAUUUUCUGAGGAAGAAAGCAGGGGACCUUUGGGCCUUGCGCUGUUUGAGCGGCCGAUAUCUGAUUAGCUAGUUGGUGGGGUAAAGGCCUACCAAGGCGACGAUCAGUAGCGGGUCUGAGAGGAUGAUCCGCCACACUGGGACUGAGACACGGCCCAGACUCCUACGGGAGGCAGCAGUGGGGAAUUUUGGACAAUGGGCGCAAGCCUGAUCCAGCCAUGCCGCGUGUCUGAAGAAGGCCUUCGGGUUGUAAAGGACUUUUGUCAGGGAAGAAAAGGGCGGGGUUAAUACCCCUGUCUGAUGACGGUACCUGAAGAAUAAGCACCGGCUAACUACGUGCCAGCAGCCGCGGUAAUACGUAGGGUGCGAGCGUUAAUCGGAAUUACUGGGCGUAAAGCGGGCGCAGACGGUUACUUAAGCAGGAUGUGAAAUCCCCGGGCUCAACCUGGGAACUGCGUUCUGAACUGGGUGACUAGAGUGUGUCAGAGGGAGGUAGAAUUCCACGUGUAGCAGUGAAAUGCGUAGAGAUGUGGAGGAAUACCGAUGGCGAAGGCAGCCUCCUGGGAUAACACUGACGUUCAUGCCCGAAAGCGUGGGUAGCAAACAGGAUUAGAUACCCUGGUAGUCCACGCCCUAAACGAUGUCGAUUAGCUGUUGGGCAGCAUGACUGCUUAGUAGCGAAGCUAACGCGUGAAAUCGACCGCCUGGGGAGUACGGUCGCA